rnacentral:rRNA from 1 species
CCAGACUCCUACGGGAGGCAGCAGUGGGGAAUAUUGCACAAUGGGGGAAACCCUGAUGCAGCAACGCCGCGUGAGUGAAGAAGUAUUUCGGUAUGUAAAGCUCUAUCAGCAGGGAAGAAAAUGACGGUACCUGACUAAGAAGCCCCGGCUAACUACGUGCCAGCAGCCGCGGUAAUACGUAGGGGGCAAGCGUUAUCCGGAUUUACUGGGUGUAAAGGGAGCGUAGACGGCAUGGCAAGUCAGAUGUGAAAGCCCAGGGCUCAACCCCGGGACUGCAUUUGAAACUGUCAGGCUGGAGUGCAGGAGAGGUAAGUGGAAUUCCUAGUGUAGCGGUGAAAUGCGUAGAUAUUAGGAGGAACACCAGUGGCGAAGGCGGCUUACUGGACUGUAACUGACGUUGAGGCUCGAAAGCGUGGGGAGCAAACAGGAUUAGAUACCCGUGUACA